UGCCUUAGUAACUGCGAGUGAAGCGGCAAAAGCUCAAAUUUGAAAUCUGGCGCCUUCGGCGUCCGAGUUGUAAUUUGGAGGGACAUCUUCGGGGCUGGCGCCGUCCUAAGUUCCUUGGAACAGGACGUCACAGAGGGUGAGAAUCCCGUGCCUGGGCGGAUGCCCAGCUCCAUGUGAAGUGUCUCCGACGAGUCGAGUUGUUUGGGAAUGCAGCUCAAAAUGGGUGGUAAAUUUCAUCUAAAGCUAAAUAUUGGCGAGAGACCGAUAGCGCACAAGUAGAGUGAUCGAAAGAUGAAAAGCACUUUGAAAAGAGAGUUAAAAAGUACGUGAAAUUGUUGAAAGGGAAGCGCUUGCGACCAGACUCGACCUUUGGCGAUCAGCCGGGCUUCGGCUCGGUGCCAUCGCCAUUGGUUGGGCCAGCAUCGGUUCUGACGGUGGGAUAAAAGGCGAAGGAAUGUGGCCUCCUUCGGGGGGUGUUAUAGCCUUCGUCACAAUGCCGCCAGUCGGGACCGAGGACCGCGCUUCGGCUAGGAUGCUGGCGUAAUGGUCUUAAGCGACCCGUCUUGAAACACGGACCAAGGAGUCUAACAUCUAUGCGAGUGUUCGGGUGGAAAACCCUUGCGCGUAAUGAAAGUGAACGGAGGUGGGAACCCCUCGGGGUGCACCAUCGACCGGUCCUGACGUCUUCUGAAGGAUCUGAGUAAGAGCAUAGCUGUUGGGACCCGAAAGAUGGUGAACUAUGCCUGAAUAGGGUGAAGCCAGAGGAAACUCUGGUGGAGGCUCGCAGCGGUUCUGACGUGCAAAUCGAUCGUCAAAUUUGGGUAUAGGGGCG
rnacentral:rRNA from 1 species